rnacentral:rRNA from 1 species
UGGCGAACGGGUGAGUAACGCGUGAGGAACCUGCCUCAAAGAGGGGGACAACAGUUGGAAACGACUGCUAAUACCGCAUAAGCCCACGACCCGGCAUCGGGUAGAGGGAAAAGGAGCAAUCCGCUUUGAGAUGGCCUCGCGUCCGAUUAGCUAGUUGGUGAGGUAAUGGCCCACCAAGGCGACGAUCGGUAGCCGGACUGAGAGGUUGAACGGCCACAUUGGACUGAGACACGGCCCAG